rnacentral:misc_RNA from 1 species
GCACGCUCUACAAAACGACGACUGGUCGAAGCUGAUUCUUCUGCAGCUUGAGUUCGUUGGCGGUGUGGGGCCUCAGCUUUAAAAAACAGGGCCUCAAGCACUAGUUUGGAUGCAAACUCAUGUUCAAAGUCAUUACAUGUAAGAACCUUCCUAAGUUUCCGGCAGCUCAUGAAAGGAAACCGGAUGCAGCGACCAAGUCUUGAACUAAGAAUUUCUCGGCGUUCCUCUAUCAAGGGAUAAUGAGCCCUUGUCCAUUUCAAGACAAAGUCAUAUACUGCAUCUUCUG